AAACUGAAGAGUUUGAUCAUGGCUCAGAUUGAACGCUGGCGGCAGGCCUAACACAUGCAAGUCGAGCGGUAACAGAUCUAGCUUGCUAGAUGCUGACGAGCGGCGGACGGGUGAGUAAUGCAUAGGAAUCUGCCCGGUAGUGGGGGAUAACCUGGGGAAACCCAGGCUAAUACCGCAUACGUCCUACGGGAGAAAGGGGGCUUCGGCUCCCGCUAUUGGAUGAGCCUAUGUCGGAUUAGCUAGUUGGUGAGGUAAAGGCUCACCAAGGCAACGAUCUGUAGCUGGUCUGAGAGGAUGA
rnacentral:rRNA from 2 species